rnacentral:rRNA from 1 species
GAUGAACGCUGGCGGCGUGCCUAAUACAUGCAAGUCGAGCGAACGGACGAGAAGCUUGCUUUUCUGAUGUUAGCGGCGGACGGGUGAGUAACACGUGGAUAACCUACCUAUAAGACUGGGAUAACUUCGGGAAACCGGAGCUAAUACCGGAUAAUAUUUUGAACCGCAUGGUUCAAAAGUGAAAGACGGUCUUGCUGUCACUUACAGACGGAUCCGCGCUGCAUUAGCUAGUUGGUAAGGUAACGGCUUACCAAGGCAACGAUGCAUAGCCGACCUGAGAGGGUGAUCGGCCACACUGGAACUGAGACACGGUCCAGACUCCUACGGGAGGCAGCAGUAGGGAAUCUUCCGCAAUGGGCGAAAGCCUGACGGAGCAACGCCGCGUGAGUGAUGAAGGUCCUCGGAUCGUAAAACUCUGUUAUUAGGGAAGAACAUAUGUGUAAGUAACUGUGCACAUCUUGACGGUACCUAAUCAGAAAGCCACGGCUAACUACGUG